rnacentral:misc_RNA from 1 species
GAUGAAGAACGCAGCGAAAUGCGAUACGUAAUGUGAAUUGCAGAUCUCUCAGUGAAUCAUCGAGUCUUUGAACGCACAUUGCGCCCCCUGGUAUUCCGGGGGGCAUGCCUGUCCGAGCGUCAUUGCUGCCCUCAAGCACGGCUUGGGUGUUGGGCCUCCGUCCUCCUCCCGGGGGCCGGGCCCGAAAGGCAGCGGCGGCACCGCGUCCGGUCCUCGAGCGUAUGGGGCUUCGUCACCCGCUCUUGUAGGCCCGGCCGGCGCUUGCCGACACAUCAAUCUUUUUUCCAGGUUGACCUCGGAUCAGGUAGGGAUACCCGCUGAACUUAAGCAUAUCAAUAAGCGGAGGA